AGCUCAGUUGGAUAGAGCAUCGGUUUUCUAAACCGAGGGUCGCAGGUUCGAGUCCUGCAGAGCGCGCCA
rnacentral:tRNA from 1 species